UACGGGGGGGGGCAAGCGUUGUUCGGAAUCACUGGGCGUAAAGGGCGCGUAGGCGGCCUGAUAAGUAGGGGGUGAAAUCUCGGAGCUUAACUCCGAAACUGCAUUCGAUACUGCCGUGCUUGAGGACUGGAGAGGAGACUGGAAUUUACGGUGUAGCGGUGAAAUGCGUAGAUAUCGUAAGGAAGACCAGUGGCGAAGGCGGGUCUCUGGACAGUUCCUGACGCUGAGGCACGAAGGUCAGGGGAGCAAACGGG
rnacentral:rRNA from 1 species